AUGAACUACAUAUUCAAGGGCUCUAACAGAAAGUUUGUGUUAAUUUUCAUGGAUGAUAUCUUGGUUUUAAGUGGAACUUUGGAAGAACAUGUCACUCACUUGCAAUCAGUAUUUGACAUACUGAAGGAAAACCAGUUGUUUGUAAAGGAAAGCAAGUGCUCUUUUGCACAACAGUCCAUGGAGUAUUUGGGCCACAUAAUUUCUGACAAGGGAGUAAGUACUGAUCCUGCAAAAACUGCUGCAAUGUUGCACUGGCCAACUCCGACCAAUGUGACUGAACUGAGGGGUUUUCUGGGUCUCACUGGAUACUACAAAAAAUUUGUGCAAAACUAUGGUUUACUGGCCAAGCCACUCACUACACUGCUCAAAAAACAGUCCUUCCAAUGGUCAGAGACAGCUGAUACAGCCUUUUAG
rnacentral:rRNA from 1 species